UACGUAGGGUGCGAGCGUUAAUCGGAAUUACUAGGCGUAAAGCGUGCGCAGGCGGUUUUGUAAGCCAGAUGUGAAAUCCCCGGGCUUAACCUGGGAACUGCGUUUGAAACUGGAAGGCUUGAGUGUGGCAGAGGGGGGUGGAAUUCCACGUGUAGCAGUGAAAUGCGUAGAGAUGUGGAGGAACACCGAUGGCGAAGGCAGCCUCCUGGGCCAACACUGACGCUCAUGCACGAAAGCGUGGGGAGCAAACAGG
rnacentral:rRNA from 1 species